rnacentral:rRNA from 1 species
UAAUACGUAGGGACCGAGCGUUGUCCGGAUUCAUUGGGCGUAAAGAGCUCGUAGGCGGCCACUCAAGUCGAAUGUGAAACCUCGAGGCUUAACCUCGAGCCUGCAUUCGAUACUGGGCGGCUAGAGUCUGGUAGGGGGAUCUGGAAUUCCUGGUGUAGCGGUGGAAUGCGCAGAUAUCAGGAGGAACACCGGUGGCGAAGGCGGGAUCCUGGGCCAGUACUGACGCUGAGGAGCGAAAGCGUGGGGAGCAAACAGGAUUAGAUACCCUGGUAGUCCACGCUGUAAACGUUGGGCGCUAGGUGUGGGGGGCCUCUCCGGUUCUCUGUGCCGCAGCUAACGCAUUAAGCGCCCCGCCUGGGGAGUACGGCCGCAAGGCUA